rnacentral:rRNA from 1 species
UACAGAGGUCCCGAGCGUUGUUCGGAUUCACUGGGCGUAAAGGGUGCGUAGGUGGGUUGGUAAGUCAGUGGUGAAAUCUCCGAGCUUAACUUGGAAACUGCCAUUGAUACUAUCAGUCUUGAAUAUUGUGGAGGUCAGCGGAAUAUGUCAUGUAGCGGUGAAAUGCUUAGAUAUGACAUAGAACACCAAUUGCGAAGGCAGCUUACUACAGGGACAUUGACACUGAGGCACGAAAGCGUGGGGAUCAAACAGG